GGGUUGUGAGGUUAAGCGACUAAGCGUACACGGUGGAUGCCCUGGCAGUCAGAGGCGAUGAAGGACGUGCUAAUCUGCGAUAAGCGUCGGUGAGGUGAUAUGAACCGUUAUAACCGGCGAUUUCCGAAUGGGGAAACCCAGUGUGUUUCGACACACUAUCAUUAACUGAAUCCAUAGGUUAAUGAGGCGAACCGGGGGAACUGAAACAUCUAAGUACCCCGAGGAAAAGAAAUCAACCGAGAUUCCCCCAGUAGCGGCGAGCGAACGGGGAGGAGCCCAGAGCCUGAAUCAGUGUGUGUGUUAGUGGAAGCGUCUGGAAAGGCGCGCGAUACAGGGUGACAGCCCCGUACACAAAAAUGCACAUACUGUGAGCUCGAUGAGUAGGGCGGGACACGUGGUAUCCUGUCUGAAUAUGGGGGGACCAUCCUCCAAGGCUAAAUACUCCUGACUGACCGAUAGUGAACCAGUACCGUGAGGGAAAGGCGAAAAGAACCCCGGCGAGGGGAGUGAAAAAGAACCUGAAACCGUGUACGUACAAGCAGUGGGAGCCUCUUAAUGGGGUGACUGCGUACCUUUGUAUAAUGGGUCAGCGACUUAUAUUCUGUAGCAAGGUUAACCGAAUAGGGGAGCCGAAGGGAAACCGAGUCUUAACUGGGCGUUAAGUUGCAGGGUAUAGACCCGAAACCCGGUGAUCUAGCCAUGGGCAGGUUGAAGGUUGGGUAACACUAACUGGAGGACCGAACCGACUAAUGUUGAAAAAUUAGCGGAUGACUUGUGGCUGGGGGUGAAAGGCCAAUCAAACCGGGAGAUAGCUGGUUCUCCCCGAAAGCUAUUUAGGUAGCGCCUCGUGAAUUCAUCUCCGGGGGUAGAGCACUGUUUCGGCAAGGGGGUCAUCCCGACUUACCAACCCGAUGCAAACUGCGAAUACCGGAGAAUGUUAUCACGGGAGACACACGGCGGGUGCUAACGUCCGUCGUGAAGAGGGAAACAACCCAGACCGCCAGCUAAGGUCCCAAAGUCAUGGUUAAGUGGGAAACGAUGUGGGAAGGCCCAGACAGCCAGGAUGUUGGCUUAGAAGCAGCCAUCAUUUAAAGAAAGCGUAAUAGCUCACUGGUCGAGUCGGCCUGCGCGGAAGAUGUAACGGGGCUAAACCAUGCACCGAAGCUGCGGCAGCGACACUAUGUGUUGUUGGGUAGGGGAGCGUUCUGUAAGCCUGUGAAGGUGGCCUGUGAGGGUUGCUGGAGGUAUCAGAAGUGCGAAUGCUGACAUAAGUAACGAUAAAGCGGGUGAAAAGCCCGCUCGCCGGAAGACCAAGGGUUCCUGUCCAACGUUAAUCGGGGCAGGGUGAGUCGACCCCUAAGGCGAGGCCGAAAGGCGUAGUCGAUGGGAAACAGGUUAAUAUUCCUGUACUUGGUGUUACUGCGAAGGGGGGACGGAGAAGGCUAUGUUGGCCGGGCGACGGUUGUCCCGGUUUAAGCGUGUAGGCUGGUUUUCCAGGCAAAUCCGGAAAACCAAGGCUGAGGCGUGAUGACGAGGCACUACGGUGCUGAAGCGACAAAUGCCCUGCUUCCAGGAAAAGCCUCUAAGCAUCAGGUAACAUCAAAUCGUACCCCAAACCGACACAGGUGGUCAGGUAGAGAAUACCAAGGCGCUUGAGAGAACUCGGGUGAAGGAACUAGGCAAAAUGGUGCCGUAACUUCGGGAGAAGGCACGCUGAUAUGUAGGUGAAGCGACUUGCUCGUGGAGCUGAAAUCAGUCGAAGAUACCAGCUGGCUGCAACUGUUUAUUAAAAACACAGCACUGUGCAAACACGAAAGUGGACGUAUACGGUGUGACGCCUGCCCGGUGCCGGAAGGUUAAUUGAUGGGGUUAGCGGCAACGCGAAGCUCUUGAUCGAAGCCCCGGUAAACGGCGGCCGUAACUAUAACGGUCCUAAGGUAGCGAAAUUCCUUGUCGGGUAAGUUCCGACCUGCACGAAUGGCGUAAUGAUGGCCAGGCUGUCUCCACCCGAGACUCAGUGAAAUUGAACUCGCUGUGAAGAUGCAGUGUACCCGCGGCAAGACGGAAAGACCCCGUGAACCUUUACUAUAGCUUGACACUGAACAUUGAGCCUUGAUGUGUAGGAUAGGUGGGAGGCUUUGAAGUGUGGACGCCAGUCUGCAUGGAGCCGACCUUGAAAUACCACCCUUUAAUGUUUGAUGUUCUAACGUUGGCCCGUAAUCCGGGUUGCGGACAGUGUCUGGUGGGUAGUUUGACUGGGGCGGUCUCCUCCUAAAGAGUAACGGAGGAGCACGAAGGUUGGCUAAUCCUGGUCGGACAUCAGGAGGUUAGUGCAAUGGCAUAAGCCAGCUUGACUGCGAGCGUGACGGCGCGAGCAGGUGCGAAAGCAGGUCAUAGUGAUCCGGUGGUUCUGAAUGGAAGGGCCAUCGCUCAACGGAUAAAAGGUACUCCGGGGAUAACAGGCUGAUACCGCCCAAGAGUUCAUAUCGACGGCGGUGUUUGGCACCUCGAUGUCGGCUCAUCACAUCCUGGGGCUGAAGUAGGUCCCAAGGGUAUGGCUGUUCGCCAUUUAAAGUGGUACGCGAGCUGGGUUUAGAACGUCGUGAGACAGUUCGGUCCCUAUCUGCCGUGGGCGCUGGAGAACUGAGGGGGCUGCUCCUAGUACGAGAGGACCGGAGUGGACGCAUCACUGGUGUUCGGGUUGUCAUGCCAAUGGCACUGCCCGGUAGCUAAAUGCGGAAGAGAUAAGUGCUGAAAGCAUCUAAGCACGAAACUUGCCCCGAGAUGAGUUCUCCCUGACUCCUUGAGGGUCCUGAAGGAACGUUGAAGACGACGACGUUGAUAGGCCGGGUGUGUAAGCGCAGCGAUGCGUUGAGCUAACCGGUACUAAUGAACCGUGAGGCUUAACCUUACAACGCCGAAG
rnacentral:rRNA from 1 species